AUUCGGUGGCCGGUGGGACCUUUUGCGGCAACAUAUGGUAAUAAUUUUUGUCGUCACAAUAGAUAUUUAGUGGCGAUAUUUUUAUAUUCGAUGAUGAUUUUGGACCCACUAGUUGAGUUGGACAUAUAAAUAUCCUAAACUAAUGAAGGAAGAAAGAAGAAACUCAAAAGUAUAAAAAUAAUAAAUUAUUUAUAUACGAAGAAUAAAAAAAAAAAAAAAAAAAAAAAAAAAAAAAAAAAAAAAAAAAAAAAAAAAAGUAAAAAAGUAAACAAUAAAACAAUAAAACAAUAAAAAAUAAAAAAAGCAAAAACAGAAAGCCCUUUUAUUUCUUCCUGCUAGCACCAUUAGUGCUAGGAAUAGCAUGCUAUAUGUGACUCGACAUUUGAUUUUCGAAUUUGGUUUAAUUUGCUACCUGAUUGGCGACAGUUUCGCGGCACGAUAAAUUUUGAAAAAAAAAUUGUGAAGGAAAAAAAUUAAGAAUUUCUGUGGUGCAUGGAUAGCGAAAGGUUCGGGACGAUAGAUACGAAUCAGAUCCAAUUAUAAAGAAACUCGUUAAUGAUUUUCUUUCUACUUUUGUCCUACAGGCGAUAUGCCAAUACAGCAAAUUUGUACAUCAACAACAUUGUACUCUCCCAUUUUAAAUAGUGAAGUUCUCUCCUCUUUCGUCAUGCGAUUUUUUCUUGCAAAUAAUUUUUCACAUAAAUCCUUGUGUUUUAUUUUAUUUAUUAUUUUUUGUGAUUUGUCUAUUUUGCAAUCGUCAUUUUUGUUUCUAUUUGUGCGCUCAUCGUAACAUAACAAUAUCUCCAUUUAU
rnacentral:lncRNA from 1 species